AGAAAAAGUGUGGGAUUUCAAGGGAUUAAGCUAAUAAAGGUAGUGAGCCCUCUAAUAAGGGUAAAAAGAUUGUACCUGAAGAUCGAGAAUAGAAGUAUAGCGAACUCCUAGUAUUUGAUUAAUAAAGUUGGUCGGAUGCAAAUUGAGGUCAAUUAUAAUGUUUAAAAGUGAUGAAAGGUGAAAGGAAUAGUUUGAGAUAAAAU